UGGGUAUGAAAUUGAGACAUUGACUAACUGGCUGUUGAAGCAAGAACAGGCUGGUAUUAUUGAUGCUGAACUCACUAUAGUACUUUCGAGUAUUUCAAUGGCGUGUAAGCAGAUUGCUUCUCUAGUUCAAAGGGCAAGCAUUUCUAACCUCACUGGAGUUCAGGGUGCUGUUAAUGUCCAAGGAGAGGAUCAGAAAAAACUCGAUGUCAUCUCCAACGAGGUAAUGUCUACCCCUGUAAAUACAAUAGUUUAAGUGGAGUUGUUGAGCCGACUCUAUCCAUUUCUGAAGCACGUAGACGUGCAGAGCUUGAAAUUUCGGGGGAUUGUUUAAUACUAAAUUAAAUAAAUAAACGUGCGUUAUCUCUAGCAGAUUCAGCUUUUAAACAGAUUGGUUUAGUAGUAUGUUAUAAGCACGAUGUAAAUAUCAGGUGUUCUCUAAUUGCUUGAGGUCAAGUGGAAGGACAGGAAUUAUUGAUGUUGGAGGCAUUUUUCAACAACGUCGGUGGAGUUUAUACCACUGAUUUCCCAAGUACUCCACCAGUGAGAUUUGAUUACACAAACCCUAAUAACAGCCUCAAUCGGGCAAUCAUAAUGACUACGAAGUCGACAAAAGUAAAGGAAGUUAAGUACAAUGCAACGGUAGAGAUUGUGAUGCAGAAUACAGCUUUAAUUGGGAUCGAAAAUCAUCCUAUACACUUGCAUGGAUUCAACUUCUAUGUUUUGGCUCAAGGAUUUGGCAACUUCAAUAGGACUAGGGACAGCAAAAAAUUCAAUUUUGUUAACCCACAAGAGCGUAAUACCAUUGGAGUACCAGUUGGAGGAUGGGCUGUGGUCAGAUUUCGAGCAAAUAAUCCAGGUAAGUUAGACCGUCGUCAAUCUCAAGCAUAAGAAUGCGUCCACCUUUGAGAAAAAGGACGAACUUUUCUAAUUUCAUAUAGCAUGUUUUAUAUCACUUUGCCUAUAUGUGAAGUUUGCAUGUAUUAAUAUAUUCUACAUUUGAAAAUGUGGUUAUUUUAGGUGUAUGGUUGAUGCAUUGUCAUUUGGAUGUACACUUGCCUUGGGGUCUUGCGACUGCUUUGGUUGUCGAGAAUGGACCGACCCCGUCAACAAGAUUGCCACCACCUCCUCCAGAUCUUCCUAAAUGUUAAUAUUCUUCAGAAAUAUUAUUUAUUAUUGUACUGUUAUUGUUUAUUUGAUUGUUUUUAUUUAUUUGUAACCUUGAUUUCAUUUUACAUUUUUGUAAGUUUGAUAUGGUAUCGUGAGAAGUAAUAGUAUACAAAUGCCAACAUUUGUUUGAUUAAAUCGAUGUUAAUUUUCUAAAUCUAUUCAAAUAAAACUAAAAAUUAAUUAAAAUCCGUGAAUGAAUAAAAUUUACAUGAUUUAUAAACUCAAUAUUUAAAUAAUUAAAAAAUUUCAAUCUAAAUAUUGGUUGUCCGCGAACCCAAUCCAAAGCAAUGCAAGAAACCGUUCUUCGAUAAUUUCAUUAUAAUACUUGUAAAAAUUAUGAGAAUUAAAUUAAUUAAUUAGAAAGGCGAAGAAGCUGGUGCAUCGGCGACAGAACCAAUAGGUUCUUCGGCCACCGGACCAGGGGCGACACCACCGCUGCUCAAAAGCUCCAACAUGGCACGGUGAGGCUCGGUCUUUUGUUUCUCGCACAGACGAGGUAGAUAUACUCCUUCUCCGGCAGCUAGGUUGAAAUAAAGGUCAACAAUAUUAGGGCAAUUUUGAUAACAUGCCGGCGAGCACAGGCUUUUGGUGAAUUGCGGUACAAGUAAUGCAUCUGAAGAUAUUCCGACGAAGCUCCGAUCAGCGCCACAUGCUUUUACACAUUGAUCGGUCUCUAUAUAUCCAGCCAUUCUCUCAACAACCACCUCCGACGUCUUGCAUGCAUAUUCCAGCUUUCCGAAGUCGUCUCUGUAAUUCUCCAACACACAUCUUUUACCCGAUGAUGCGAUUGCAAAGGAACAAAAAUUCGUCGGCAAAUUGUCGCAAAUCACCUCAGCUGAUUCAGAGAAAGAUAUAUAUUAAAAAUCACACAUAUAUAUACAGAGAGAGAGAGAGAGAGAGAGAGAGAUUGGGAUGUACCGAAUGCUCCUUGGAGGAAGAGGGAGAGCGCAAAGAAGAGGAUGAAUGGCGAUUUGAUUGAAGAAACAGCCAUGGCUUGAAUUUGAUGCAUUGUUUUCUGAUUUGGAGAAGAGUGUGAAGAAUAAAUGGGUUUGCGAGAAAAAUUCAAUGGAUGAGUUGUGUAUAUGUAAAGUGGUGAAUUCCAUAAAAAGGUAUAAGUUCCGACAAAGGCGGUUAUCUAAGGAGACAUCGUUGGCCGGGUUUUCACUGGUUUCUUGUUAAUGGACGUGAUUGCAUGUUUUAGAUGUCUGCAUUUGAAGUUUCCAAUCGUUUAAUAACAAACACACAUUUUGGAAAAUCCAUCGAAAUUAUAUUAAUACAAAAACGCUUGAGAGAAAAUUUUAAAGUUAGACAAAACUCCCAAAUUGAAUCGGAUCAAAUCGGACCCGAAUUAAAUUAAAUAUAAUCGAGCAAUUAUUCUUAAAUUAAAUACUAGAACAGGUAAUCAAAAUCUAGAACCAACUGAUUUGAUUCAUUUCUCGGUUCUAAAUCAAGAACCGAAUAAGAAUUGAAUCUCUUUAAUUUUUCUUUUUCAAUUCUUAUAUUCAACAAGCCAAAAUUUUUUUUAAAAAAAAUUCUGUUUUACUUGCCAACUAACUAAUUGAGCUCAAAGAUAUCAUUAUCCUGUUUCAUUUAUCAACUAACUAAUUGAGCCUAAAAUAUUAUUUUCCUAUAUUCAGCCCUAACUCAACUUUGUAAUUCAAAUUUCAAAUAAUCAAAAUUGAGUGGCUAUGCCUCUCUUCAUCUUACCCUUUUUUGCCUUAUUUAUUAAUUUUCUCCACUUUAAUCAAGAUAAUUUGCAUAUAUUGGUGAAUAGAUAUUAUUAGAAAACUUAUUAUUUGUAUAUUUUAAAAUUAAACUAUGUUCAAGUAUGAAGAUAGUGUUGUUAUAAAAGCUAAUAUUGAAUAUGACGUUAAUUGGAUUAAUCAAGUAUUGUUGUAAAUGUUAAAAUUUCUAAUUAUGGUAUGGAAUCUAACCGAAUGAAUUCGAACCGAAAGAUUUUAUAAUUAAAUUUAAACUUGACGGUUCCACUUACUAAAUACCUGAAACUCUGAUUCGGUUAUGAAUCGAAUUGAACUAUGUCCAGUCCUAAGAGAAAUAAUAAUGAUAUUAAUCUAAAGUUAUCAUCAUCAUCGGUCUAUAUGAGCUGGAGAUACUCUCCCACAAAUAUCUAGUGGCAAAUUAAUCGAGAUAGUUUUCUAAAGGAACACAUGUUAGGACCUUGAACUCUAUAAAUACUCUUACAAUUUACAGAGCUAAGGUAUGUGAAAUCUAAAAUGCUUAGCCAAUUUUCUGUCAAACCUAUCUCUCCCUAGGUUGCACAAAAACGAAAUGGAACAAAUAGGAUAGUCAUAAACAUUAUUUCUGAAAAAUAGGACAUGAAAUGUCACGAAAACGUAUAUAAAAACUAUUAAUUUAUUUUCAAAAAUUAAUAUUUAAAUUCAAGAAACCAUGCAAUAUUAAGUAAUAAAGCUAACCAAAUGAAUAUAAUCUAACUAGACUUUUAAUAUAUAAUUAUUUCCAUCUUAUAUAAAAGGAAUAUCCGCGUCUCAACUUGAGAGGAAGAUAAGUGGGACCAGAUGAGCAGAAAUUGUUACCAGCCUUACAAUCUAAAAAUAAAAUUCUAGAAAUGAUACAAACCUGAGUCACAAAUUGGGAGAGAAGAUUUUUAAGAGAGAACUAAAAAGUAUCCAAGAAAAAUCACCAUGGCUGCAACUUCAUCAGCAUCACAUCUUCUCUUUUCAAGUUCCAUUAUCUCUCGUCUCUCCCCCUUCCAACUAUGCAGGUUGGACGCCAAGACUCUCACCGGUGGCGUCAGACGGAGUACAAAGGUGGCAGGUGGUGGAGCCGGAGUCCGGUGCAUGGCGGUGACGACGGAUGCAGUGACAAAGAGGAAGAGUGGGUAUGAAAUUGAGACAUUGACUAACUGGCUGUUGAAGCAAGAACAGGCUGGUAUUAUUGAUGCUGAGCUCACUAUAGUACUUUCGAGUAUUUCAAUGGCGUGUAAGCAGAUUGCUUCUCUAGUUCAAAGGGCUAGCAUUUCUAACCUCACGGGAGUUCAGGGCGCUGUUAAUGUCCAAGGAGAGGAUCAGAAAAAACUCGAUGUCAUCUCCAAUGAGGUAAUGUCUACCCCUGUAAAUACAGUAGUUUAACAUGGUAUCAGAGCUGGUGCAGUUGUUGAGCCGACUCUAUCCAUUUAUGAAGCACGUAGACAAGCAGAGCUUGAAAUUUCUGGGGAUUGUUUAAUACUAGAUUAAAUAAAUAAAUGUGCGUUAUUCUAACAGAUUAAGCUUUUAAACAGACUGGUUUAGUAGUAUGUUAUAAGCACGAUGUAAAUAUCAG
rnacentral:lncRNA from 1 species